GGGAGCUUAGCUCAGUUGGUAUUAGAGUGUGAGUCUCAUAGUAAACUAUCGAGAUAUCUCAAGGUCGUGAGUUCGAUCCUCACAGUUCCCA